CAUUCUAAAAGAAACCAUUACAAAAAUAAGGAAAAAUUAAUUUUACAAACUAUGUCAUAUGUUUUCUUUGUUUCCUCAAUAUAACUCUGAUUAGAAUGUCAAACAAAGAUAAAAUCAUCCGUAUUAAUCGUCAAUAUCGUGUAUAUUAUUAAUAUGAGCGUCUUUGCGUUAAAUUCGUGCUACACCACACCAUGCACUUAUAUCGACGUCGCAAUGCAAAAGAAGAAGGGCAAGAAAGAAACCUGUCCUGGUCUGGCGAUUUAAGGGGACAUUUGUUUAAGCCUGUCUUGAUCUUUUAUCAGUCUAGAAAGAUGUUGGAGAAAAGACAUCAUCCUCUUCUAUAAUCUCCAUCUGUAAUUGGACUAACAACUGGACCAGUGAAUGCAGGCAACUUACUCUCCAUUCGACCUUGCAGGUCACACCAUGGUCUCAAGAGGGAAAAUGAGUGCUCUAUGGAUUGAACAGAAAAAGGUGAAUCAAAACUCCAACAUCUGUAUGAGGGUCUGGAUGGAUAAAGGAUGCCCACUGGAGCUGGAAAUGAUGGAUCAGGUCAUUUUCAUUUGUCACAUUUACAAAGAAGCACACUCUAAGGAUUGCGUUACCCUGUCUGUGGCAAAUACACUAGACAAAAGUAUUGGGAGGCCUCAUUCUAAUAAACAUGUUUAUUUAUUCCAGUAUGUCCAAUCAAAACAAAUAAAAAUGCUAUACCAUAUAAUACCACUACAAAGAAUUUUGAUUUUUGUUGCAACAGUUUUGUAAGUGCCUUUUUCUGUUCCGAAAUGACUACAGCUUCUUGUACAAGUCAUUGAUAGGUUUAGGUGAUGAGUUUUUGGCUAAAAACCUUUGAGUCAUAUCAAAGGUGUUAGCUGAGUUAAGGUCUAUUCAGACCAGUCAAAGUUCUUCCACACCAGACUGAAUCACUAAUUUUCUGUUUGAACCUUACUUUGUUUGUAGGGUCAUUCUUAAGUUGGUAUUGAAAAGGGCCCUGCCAAAACUCUUGCUAUAAAUUUAGCAUCAAACGGUUUUUCUAGAAUAUCAUAUGCUGUAGCAUUAAGAUUUGUGCUCAUGGAAAUAUGUAAAGUAUUUAAACCUGUUUAUUAGAAGGAGGUGUCGCAAUACUUAUGUCUAUAUAGUUUAUGUUUAACAAGCCAAAAUAACUAGGGCUGCUUCUUUUUAAGAACUUUUGGUUAUUUUUAAAUCAGCCAGAGGAAUAACAGUCCUUAAAUGUGUAAUGUACUGCCAUAAUCUUGUAAUGAUCAAACGUGAGGUCAGAUUCUUGUUAACCUACUGUGUUCUUUCUUGAUGGUUAGCCGAGUGUCCCAGGACAGAAAAUCUGUUUCGUAUGGAUCAGAGUCAGACAUGAACAUCUAAUAUGUAAUAUCUAGUGAUAUGUUUUCUUAGAUAAUGCUGUGAACAAAUGCUCUUUUACCUUGAAUAUUAGGUGGAUCCACACUUGAACCAUCUGUAUGAUGAUCUGCACCCACUGGAUCUGUAAAUGGUGGUGCAGGUAAGUUUCACAAGUAAACAAACUCAAAUCCUAUUCAGACCAUUCAUGAUUCCAGCAAUAACCAAGUUUUUUCGUAACAAUAAGACUGCAUUUACAAUGCAAAUCUUAAUGCACAGAUCAUAUUUUUUUGACUAUAUUCAUUUUUUGUUCUGAUCUUUUUAUAUUUACAUAAGACACUAUUCAUAUCUGAUAUCGGUGUUACAAUAAUUUGCAAAACUACAGUUAAUAUGAGUGUCAUAAUUUGCCCUUGAGUUUUGUAUCGACUUAAGCCAGGGUCACUGCCAAUUUAGGCAUGUUUUAAUUAUGACACUUAAACAAUUGUAUAUGUACUUCGAUAAAGGUUUUUGCAAUCAUGGAAACAUAAGUGAAUUGCAGACAGCAUUCUUCUUUUACGAAUGUAAAAUGGCUGGAGUAGUGAUGUCACUAGCUAAAUUAAUUUUCAUUUGACCUCCCCCACAGAAAGACACAGCACAUCAUUAUAUCGUUGGCUCCGCCCACUGGUGUUCAGUCUAAAGUAGUAGUUGUUGACAAUCAUAAAGUUGUAAUAACAGUAAGAUUGUGAUGUCAGACAAACAUUGUGCUGUUGCUGGCUGUGGGAAAUUAGUGUCUUUGUAAGGGUCGCAAAUAAUUUGAAAAUAUUUAUGUUUCUAAAUAUGCCCCCCUACCAUGAACUAAACUGGACUGUUGCAGAGACCAAGUGUAGUAGGGUACACUACUAUGCAGGUGACAUUCUUUUGUUUAUUGAAGCUAUGACAAAUAAUUUGUCUGUUUAGUUAAUGUUUUAUACAGUGUAACUGUACCUAAACAUUGUUCCUUGAGGUCCUCUGCUAUUUACAUUUUGUAUGUCUUCCUUAUUUAACACACCUUAUUCAAAUCAUCAGCUCAUUAGUAGAGAUCUUCAUGAACUGAACUGAGGCUGUGUCCAAAUGUUCACACUUGUUGUCUUUGCACUAGACUACUUACAUUACGGGUUUUUUUUUUUUGUAUUUGGCCUAAGUAUUCUAGUGGGCGUGAAGAUCCCAAGCGUGCAUGUAGAAUUAUUCAUCCGAUGGGACACACUUAGCAUGGGUAAAAAUUUCAAUCCAGGUAGUGCCAGCAAUUUGCACCAAAACGUAUUUGUGUUUUAUUUACUACUUUUAAUUUAUAUUUAACAUUUUUAAGUUUUUCUGUAAAUAAAAUGAACACUCUGAAAUGAACAUUUGCUUAUAUCAAACUUUUAGAUGCAGAAUUCUUUGCUCCUGUAAAAAAGCUCUUUGUUUUGAGUAUGUAGCUUUAUUAAAGUGUAUUAUUUAUUCAGUAGUCCCUAAAUAAACGACACAAUGUUGCAGAUGUUUCACAAAAUGCAUAACAAUAAUGCAGUGAACACCAUAGAAAUGUUAACAUACAAUUAAAAGUCUCAUGCUUUACAUCCAGAACAUGAUGCACGAUAGGAUGCACAAAGUGAUAUUUGGACGCAGCCUCAGUCUGUCAAAUCAAAGAGACAUACAGAAUGCACAGAGCAGUGGGACUCCAUGAACAGAGUUGAGAACCACUGCUGUAACUCAUUAUGCUUACCUGACUCAUGCAGAAUUCUGGCCUGGUGUUUGGUCCCCCUUUCUCUGGCUUGUGUCUCCAUCAUCAUUACACUCUUGUCAGUGUAAAAGUAUCGUCGUCUGCGUACCAGGACUUUGUUACUCAGCUGUCCCUUCUCCUUCAAGCUACAUUUUUGUCAAGCUGCAACAAGUUGGAAUACAUAAUUAUUAACGUUUAAUGAUUUUGAUGUAUGAAAUAUGUAACAAAAGCAAAAAAUGUAUAGACAUUCUAUUAAGAAAUUACCUUUUUGUUGUUUGUUUACUGACCUUUCAACCAUAUUGCAUUUAUAAUUGAUCAUCAUACCUUUGGUCUACUGUUAACAGGUUACUGUAGAAAACAAAGUCAAACAAAAAAGAGAGAAAAAAUUAUAAAUGCUGAAUGUGUCUCAUCUUAAAUACAUUGUUGUUGUUUUUGUUUCAUUGAUUUUGGAUGUUUUGAUGAUUUAAGGAAAAUUUACGUAGCAUAUAUAUUGAUGUUUUAAAUCAGAGUUUGUUAAUGACACUUAAUCAUUAACAAACAUUUAAAAAGCUUUAUUACAAUACUAAUUGAUAAUAUAUAUGUAAUAAUCUUGUUUUGUAACACCCUAAAUCACUGAGCGCACAAACGCUACCCCUGUUACAAGCAUGAGUGAUUGACUUCAGGCACACAUGCGCAGACAUUGAAGUACCGCGAGAGUGAUUCAAAAGCCCACGAAACAGUGUAAUCACGCGGUACUGUGAUGUCAUACUGGUUAAGGCUAAGCCACGUGAAGCCGGACACAAGGGCUUUGGGCUGGAGUAGCCUGUGGCUUUUAAGGCUUCGUGUCUCAUCGCGUUAAACGAUCGCAGAACGAUUUAUUUCUCUUUUUCACCUCGAUCUUUGGCCUCGUGUGAUUUACCAAAACCAACAUGUGAAGUUACAACGCUGACGAAGGAGUUUCAUCAGUAGAGUGUGUCCUGGAAAACGUGUGCUCGGAAACAUGCAGAAUACAGGAUUUACAGAGCCGACCUUGAGGCACCCACUGAUGGAUAAUCUGUUUACCUAAAAACAGCCCACCACAAUCCAUGUUUACCAGCUGUGAAAGUGCAGGCCAAAAAUCUUCCUUCACCUGUGGGCCUCUACCCACAUGUAGAUAAGCACUUCAGGAGAAACCUGCCUGUGAUCUGCUAAGAUGCACAGAUUCAACUCUGGCCCAUUGUCAUCCCAACACCUCAUCUGCCAUCAGUUUCGUUUAGUGUCGGUCUAUUGCAAAAGUUCUUAUAAACUUUAAAUGAGACUUUGUGUUAAGCAGGGGUUUCCAAACUUUUCAUUCCACAACAUAUUAAGCCCAGGAUACACAGCAGGAUUUUUGCAAUCCAAUAAGACCUUAUCACACUGUGUGACAAGGAUUGUUUAAACUUCAGCAGUAGACUGUCGAUGAAGACACCUAUUGCAUCUGAAGCUGCGACAUCUGUCAUCAACAUGCGCUAGUGGUAAACAAAUACAGGUAUGCAGGUCGUAGAAGCAAACACAUUGUUGAUGUGCGUUGAUCAUGCUGAACUUCUUACACUGUCAUAAAACUAUCGUAGGUGUCUUUGGUCCCAGGACUGGGAAAACAGACGUCUUUAAACCUCUCACACUGUAUGAGAUAGGACCACCAAUUAAGAGCCACGAUCACAGAAAUCUCCACAAUUGUUUCACGAUUGGUAAUCUUUCAUCUGGGACAGCCAAAAAUCGUGCCGUGUAUUAUGGGCUUUAGACAGGUGUAAUCUUAUAGUAUAUCAAAACCAUUGCUAAUAAUUAAUUGGACAAACCAUUACUACAAUGCAACACUCACUAUCUUACGGUGCGACCCACAAGUGGGUCUUCACCCACAGUUUAAAAACCCUGAGUAUGAGAAAGAGUAUGUUGUAUUGUAAUUAAAGUCACAUCUAAGUGUUAUGGAACAGUUUGUCAUUAUAUUCACAGUAUUACAUGGUUCUUUCAGCAGUUACUACGUUACAGUGCUCUUAAAGUGUCCUGAUCAGCUUUGGGUCUUGUGAAGUAAUGUAAUGAGAACGUGAUCAAUAGCUUUGCAGUAUUUUGUUACACUGUGGCUGUAAUCAUAUUAACACAUAGGUUAAACAUUUUAUUCAAAUUUGGUAAACAAACUAGUCAAUAUAAUUCAUGCUGUGAUGCUGGAUUAAACCUGGUCAAAUGAUUGUGUAUUGUGUUUUCAAUUUUUAUGAGGUUUCUUCAUCUAUAUAAACAUUCUUAAUAUCA